rnacentral:misc_RNA from 1 species
AGAAUCUGUUUGGGGCUUUGAUUCUGUUAGUGGCAAGGAUUUGGAUCAUGAUAAGCACAGUGAAAGUUCUCUAUUUGGUAUGGGCGAGUUUGCUCUAAAUCCGAUAAAAACAGGGUCCUCACAUGCAGAUAAUAUGUACCUGGGGAAGAGCACAUCUUUUUUUGCAGAUUCUGUUCCAAGCACCCCUGCAUAUGAUCAGGGGAGAAGC